CUUUUUAUGGUGAAUUAGUGUCCCAAUCGAUUUAAGAUUGAAUAAAAAUGGUUCGAACCCAUUUGAGGGGA
rnacentral:tRNA from 1 species